rnacentral:rRNA from 1 species
GGCUUAGGACGAACGCUGGCGGCGUGCGUUAACACAUGCAAGUCGAACGAGAAGAGAUGAGAAGCUUGCUUCUUAUCAAUUCGAGUGGCAAACGGGUGAGUAACGCGUAAGCAACCUGCCCUUCAGAUGGGGACAACAGCUGGAAACGGCUGCUAAUACCGAAUACGUUCUUUUUGUCGCAUGGCAGAGGGAAGAAAGGGAGGCUCUUCGGAGCUUUCGCUGAAGGAGGGGCUUGCGUCUGAUUAGCUAGUUGGAGGGGUAACGGCCCACCAAGGCGACGAUCAGUAGCCGGUCUGAGAGGAUGAACGGCCACAUUGGGACUGAGACACGGCCCAGACUCCUACGGGAGGCAGCAGUGGGGAAUCUUCCGCAAUGGACGAAAGUCUGACGGAGCAACGCCGCGUGAACGAUGACGGCCUUCGGGUUGUAAAGUUCUGUUAUACGGGACGAAUGGUACGACGGUCAAUACCCGUCGUAAGUGACGGUACCGUAAGAGAAAGCCACGGCUAACUACGUG